UUAUAAGUUAUAACCUAGCUCUAGUAAAAAAAAAAAUCAUUUUAUAUGUGUAUAUUUAUGAAAUAGUAAAUCUUUCUUAAAAAUAAAAUGAAUUCAUUCAAUUGAUUUUUUAUAUUUUAAAUAUCAUUCUUUUAUAUAAGGGUUAAUAGAGUUUUACCCCCCUGUAAUAUAGGGUACUUUUGGUUUUGCCCCCUAUAAAUUUUUUUUUUAGAUUCCGUCCUUGUAAAAUAAAGAUUCUCCAGGAUUGCCUCAGACCCCUAUGACUCAGCAGAAUCUCUUACGUGGCGCUGAUGUGGAUAUUUCUUUUUUAUUUUUCAUUGGCCACAUGUAUAAUUCAUUUAACACAACAUAUUUAAUUAAAAAAAUAAAAAAAAACCCAAAAAAAUAAAAUAUAAUUAAAAAAUAUGAAAAUUAAUUUUCUAAAAUUUAAAAAAAUCGAAAAAAAUAAUUUUCAAAAUAAAAAGUUCAGAUUUUUUUUCUCAAAAAAUAAAAAAAAUCUGGAACUUAAUUUUCAAAAUAAAAAAAAAUAGAAAAUAUAUUUGAAAUUAAAAAAGUUCAGAUUUCUUUUCAAUAUAAAAAUUAUGGAAUAAAAAGUCUAAACAAACUUUUUCAAAAUAAUUUUUUUUCCAGAAUUUUUCUUUUUAAAUUUUUUUUUCUUCAGAAAAAUAUAUAUUAUUUUCCAGAAUAUUAAAUUUUUUGAAGAAAAAACUGAAAUUAUGAUUUUGAUUUAAAUUCUGGAACAAUAUUUCAACAUAAUUAUGAAAAAUUACAAAAAAUGAAUUAAUUAGGAAAAAAAUAAUUCUUUUAGUUUAGAAAAAAAUUGUUAAAAAAUCUCAAAUUUAAUAUAUUUCAAAAAAUUAUAAAAUAAUUAUGAAAAAGAUUCUAAAAUAUAAAAAUAUAAAUUAAAAUAAAAAACUUCGAAAAAUAUAAUAUUGUCUAAUUUUUUUAUUUUGAAAAUUAAUUUACAUAAUUUUUUUUAAAUAUUCCUAAUUCCAAAAACAAUUUGAUUUUUUUUUAUUUUCAAAAAAUACUUCAUAAAAAUUCAGAAAUAAAACUAUCGAAUAAAAUCUGAAUUCAUUUCUAAAUUUAAAUUUUUUGAAAAAAAAAACAGAAAUUAAGAUUUUGAUUUUGAUUUAAAUUCUGGAACAAUAUUUCAAAAUUUUAUAAAAAAAAAUCUGAAUUUUUUCUAAAUUUGAAAUUGUCAAUAAAAAUCUGAAGUUAAGAUUUUAAAAAUUUAACUAAAAUAGAAUUUUUUUUCUAGAUUAUAUAAUUGGAAUUUAAAAACAUUUAUAUCCAAAUUAAAUAUUUUCCAGAAUUUUUUUUUAGAAAAAAUUAAAAUACUUUUUUAUUUCUAAAAGAAUCUGGAUGUUUUUUAAUUUUUGAAAAAAAAAGUUUUUUUUUCGAUUUUUUUAAUUUAAAAAAAUUAAUUUGAGUUUUAUCAAAUUUUAAAUAUUAAUUUUCAGAUUUUUUUAAAAAAUAUUUUCGUUUUUUUUUAUUUUUAAUUUUUUAAAUAUAAAUGACGUGUAAACUAUUUUUUACGCGUGGCAAGUAAAAAAAAAUAAAAAAUAAAAAGAAAAAGCCACGUAAGUGCCAUCUCAGAGAUUCUGCUGAGUCAUUGGGCUUAGGGGGCAAUCAUGAAGAUUCUUCAUUUUACAAGGACGGAAUCUAAUUUUUUUUUACAGGGGGCAAAACCAAAAGUGUCCUAUAUUACAGGGGGUAAAGACCUAUUAACCCUUUAUAUAAAUUCAUACUUUUAUAUAGAUUCGAUGACUGAUGGGAUAAAACCACAAGUGCACGGUUCUAUCGAAGUAAUAAUGAAAAGAGUAUCGUUCCGACAUGGAGUAAUUUAAUUCAAUUAACUUUUAUUGAUGAUUAGAAGAGAAUCAAGAUGCAAAGUUGGGGUUUUUCAAACGGUUGAAAUAUAAUAAAAGAGAGCCUUGGGAUUGUUGGUCCGUCACAAGCGACAAAUCAUUCACAAACCAAAUCAUUAAACCUAAAACCUUAUGUUAGACCUAGUUUCUAAAGACGAGUUUCUCUUAAGCCUAUCACAUCUCCUAUCGGUCUCAGUGAGUGUGUUUCUCUAGUAACCACGCCUAUUUUCAUGGUUGAUCACUAUUAGAAUCCUUGAAUGCUAGAAACUUUAUAUGUCUCAAGGUUCACUACACUAUUUUCAUGUUUCGCAAUCCUUGUCUAAAUUCACUUGAUCGUAUUUUAAAUCCACUUUCGUUUUAUGAUUUGAUAUUUGGGAUAAUGGAUUAACGAUUAUCAAACCCUCCACUUUCGCUUCCACAGUUUGAUAAUAUUUAAUCCAUGUUAAAACGGUGAAUUUAGAAGAGAAACUAGGGUUACAUGAGAUUAAGGUUUAAAGCUUGGCUUGAUUAGGAUUAUGUCAUUUAGACUUAUCCAACAAUCCCAAGACAAGGAGAAGUCUACUCACUCAUGUUCAUCGUAGACAUGGAGAAGAAGAGAGAAAGCAUAAAAGUAAAUAACAAGAAAGUAAAGGAAAAGAAAAUAACUUUUAUUAGAAAGACAACUGUCACUUAUUGGAUUCCAAGAAAAGAUGAAUAUUUGUGAUGGCUAGCUACUCUAUUUAUAGCAUACAUUCGACUUAAAACCUAAGCAAUUACAUCACUAGAAUGUUCCACAAGAAACUACGGGCUAAAAUAUAGUAGCUUAAAAUCUAAGCAAAAGCAGCAAAAGUGGUUCUGGGAGGUGGCACGGCCGUGCCAAGCCUAGCACGGGCCGUGCCAAGCUUCUGACUUGGGGGAGACAUAUUUUUGUCUCCAAAUCUUCGUAUUUUUGUAUCGAAUCAGCUCCAAACCUCUUUCUUUUGCUUCAAGACUCAAUCCAUCCAAUAUUCGUUCCUGAAAUAUAAUAAAAUGCAAUUUGUAGUAAACUAACGUGCGGUGUAUGGACCAACCAUCAACACGAGAUAGAUCCAAGAACCAACAACAAGCAUAGCGUCUCUUUCGAGCUAAACAAUCCAACAUCAAAGACUGAUGAGGAUUUUGAAACCUCCCCCAAGUUAUAUAGUGCUAAACUUCGUGAAGGUGAGAAAUCCGACCGCCAACACAAAUACAGAACCUCACUCCUACAACCCGCGAUGCUGCAACAGAAAGCUUCACAACCAUUUCUAGCCAAAUCCAAUAGAAAGCAGCUCAAAUCCAAUUGAAGGCCAGAUCGAGGGAUGGUCAAUCAACGAGUUUGAGCACCACGAGCAUCGCCAACACGGUAACACCCGCACCCACCAUUCGCAACAACAACGGACAACAGGUACAUGACCAUUUCUAGCCUAGAAGACCUGUUACGAAGCACAUCCAUGAUUUAGAGGAGCAUAAUGACUCUUACGAGUCCCAACAAUUCAGUAUCCAUUACAUACCGAAUCGAACACAAGAAAUCGACUUUUUGAGAAUGGUAGUGAGCCCGGCGCCAAGACGAUCAUGGAUCCACAAACCAACUACUCACUGUGACAAAGGACAUCAAGUUAAAAUGUCAUUUCUGACUCAGCAAUCUGAGAUCACCACGCGGAGGCAACCUAUGCUCAACCAACGACCACAAUUGAUAAGGAGGCGUCGAUGGUUUUAAUAGAUCCAUGGGUUAAAUCAUCGACGAUUGCAAAAGCGCCGAAGACUGUAAACCAGUCUGAAACUACCGUUGCCGACGAAAAGCCACCGUAUCCAACCUUGCCUCACCUUUGGGGUGUAGAGGUGAUGAGACGGUGAGGCGCGCGCACCACCCACACUAUGGCUACAUGAAAACAGAGAGAUUAGGAUGUUAAAGGAGGAGAAAGAGUUUUUGUUGGUAGUGGUAGGUUGUUCUGUUGGAUGUGGGAAGAGGGAAAAAGGUUAAAAAAAAAAAAAAAAAUCAAAAGGUGAGGUAGAGUGCGACGGCGCUCUUUUUGUAAUAUCAGGAUAAGGAAAUUGACCCUUACAUUAAUAUAAUGUUGAAGGUACCAAAGAUGAUGUAUGAAGUUUGAUGUGUGAGAAAGCGUACGCGGGGACAAAAAUUGGGUUUUUGAUUUAAUUGCAACUUUAGAAUAGAUUUUUGAAGGAUAUUUAAUUUAAGAAUUUUAAUUAAAUUAUGUUAAAAAUUUUGUAUACGUUUGCUAAGAAUUUAUUAUUGAUGAUAAAAAAAAAUAAUAUCGUUUUUAGAAAAAUGAUAAUGAAUGAGGCGUAAUGUCUUGGACCAGAAUUCAGGGCAUUACAAAGGCAACAUGUGGCAUAAAAACAUUACUUUAUAUGUAUAUACUAUACUAUAUACUAUUGAUUUUACCGUUCAUUUAAAAUAUUUUAUUUACUAUUUUAUCCUUUAAUAAUAUUAUAUUAAAUUUGAAUUAGAAAAAUGAAAUAUAGGAACAAUACUAUAUAUACUUUAUUUUUUUUUGACAAAAUACUAUAUAUACUAUAUAUGAAGGGAAUAGAGACUUUGGGCUGAAUUUUUUAUAAUUUUAAUUAUACCCUUCAACAAAUUUUCCUAUAUUAAUGUUACAUUCUUGGUGGUAUUAAAAAAAGAUAAGAAUUUGUAUUAUAUUUGUUAAACUACUGUGUUGUUGUGGUAAAAGAUAAACAUGAUUUUUUUGGGUUUGUUACAAUUUUAAUUUCACAAAUAUUUGUACUUAUAAUUUUAAUCAAAAUCAAAAUUUCAUAUAAAAUACCGUUCAUAAUUUACACAUGUCACUUGCCCGUUUUUUCGCUAGUUAUAUAGUAUCUAUACUAUAUAUAAAGAAAACUAUCUCUUUCAGCAUUUUUGGGCAGAAUUUUUCUUUCCAAAAAUACCCUUAAUUUUUAAUACAAACAACACAUGUAACAAAUAAAUAAGAAUAAAUUUAAAUAUUAAAACAAAUGUAACAAACACGAUAUGUAUGUCUGGUUUUUUUCCUUUAUCAUUUAAAAAGUGUAACAAACUAUAUGAGUAUAUUUAAUACUUGCUUUUUUAUUAUCCCAAUUAUACCAUUAAAACAAAAUCCAUAAUCAUCAAUCAACAGCAAGAAGAUCCAACAUUUUAAAAAAUAAAUAGAUAAAUUUAAAGAAUUUUUUUAAGAUUCUUAUGUUGUUACAUAAUAUUUGGACAAGAUUCUAAUUCUCAUUAGUCUUUUCUCCCACGUCAAGAAUAUCUCUUUGCUUCUUCUGAUUCAUAUUCAUUCAUUCCUUAUUAUUCCAAUUUCUAACCCAAUUCAUCUUCCUAUAGAUUUGCAUCGUUUUUGCUGAACCAAGAAGGACUGUUAAGCAGAAGAAUUCCAGAAUCAUAGAUGUAAUCACAAUAGUUCUCAAUGACAAUGCUUAAAAAAAUUUGAUUUUCUCCCAAUCUAUCUCUCUCAAUCCCGAUCUACUCUCUCUCCCCUUAAACCUUUUUUUCCUAAACUAUUCCUUACCUCUCAUGCUCUCUCUUCUCCAUCGGAUACCAUUUCCCCUUCUAUCAUCUUCAUUGCAUUCUCCUCAUUCUCUUUCAUUUUUGACUUCUCAAUAAAAAAUCAAUCCCACCUUCAAUUUUUUAUUGUCGAAUUCGAAUUCGGAUUUGGGGUGCGUGGGUUCGAUUGAGAGAGAGAGGGAUUGAGAUGAUGUAUAUAUAAACAACGGUGUUGAUGGUGGUUUUGAAAAAGAGGUUUUGAUGGUGGUUAUCUCGAUUUUUUUAUGAAGGUGAUGAAUGAGGGGAAGGAAGAAGAUGAAGUAUGGGAUAUAAUGCUAGAUGUUGUUAGUUCACAGCAAGAUACAGUGGACAUGCAUGAUCUAACAAUCCUUCUUUAUUAAAAAGGAUCAAACGGUUUAUAUUAAAAAAAUAAUAGGAUCUAUAGUGGACCAGUGGGUUCACCAUAGAUAUUUGAUGUUAAAGUUAAUUUAUUUGGCAAACUGUGGGAAAAGUGAAGGACUAAAACGUGAGUUUUAUUAAUUGUGAGACCAAAAUAAAACCAAAGAAUUAAAUAAGCCUUUUUUUUUUACUAAAGCUAAGUUAUAACUUAUAAGACAUUGCAAAAAAAAAAAAUUAAUACCUUUAAACAAUUUAUCUGAUCCAAAUGAAAGAUAUUAUCUAAAAUAAAUUAUAAUUUGGUUGAUCACAAAUGAAACAUUGUUGUAGUUCAUCGAAUCUAUAUAAAAGUAUGAAUUUAUAUAAAAGAAAGAUAUUUUAAAUAUAAAAAAUCAAAUGAAUGAUUCAUAUUUUUUUUUAAGAAAGAUUUACUAUUUCAUAAAUAUACACAUAAAAUGAUUUUUUUAAUUUUUGCAUUCCAAUUUAAUUCAUAAAAAAUGUAUUGGUCAAGUGGUUUGGGAAAACAUUUGAAAUAAGUGGGUGCAUUCAAGUUCGAUUCCCACGAGUGAUAAUUUUAAUUUUUAAUGAUUUUUGCCGAGAGUGAUUGGAUUAGAGGAGAAAUUUAAUUAUUGUGAUGGUUUAAAUUGUAAAAAAUCAUUAAUUUAAGAUGGGUGAAUAUGCAAAUAAUAAAAUACAUGCUAAAUUUUUGCAAAAUAAAAUAAUAAAUGUUAUUAUUCUAAUGGAGUAUACAUGGAAAAUUUUGAUUGGUUUGGGUAAAUCAUACUUAUAUCUAAUCUUUGUUAACAUUGCUAAUGAAAUUGCAAACCCUAAACCUAAAUGGUUUUGGCUCCAAAACAAGGGAGACCGUUGGAUCUCAUCAUUUGGCUAAGCAUGCAUCUCAUCCUUUAAUCUAAUCUGAGUCAAAUUUUCAAAUUUGAUGUAUAUUUCCUAUGCACGUCUUAUCCAAGUUUUGACUCAUUAAUUAUCCUCCAAUUCCCAAAUUGACUCCACACUUAUCGAUGUCCACCUCUUUCUCCUUCAUUUUUAAGUUCUCUUCUCUCCUCUCCCAUUAUUCCUUCUUUAUGUUUUGGAAUUCAGAUUGCUUUUACUCAAAAAAAUCUCUUCGCCCUCUGAGUUGUUCAUCUUCCACCUCACUCUCAGACAUUCAAACAAAAUUCUCUGUCGUUGCCGCUCUCUCCGUCGCCGCAGCUCUCUCCUAUCGUCGCCCUUCACCAAUGCUCUCGAUUCCGACAUCACCUUCGUCGUUGUCGUCUGCGGCAUCGUAUCAGCCAGGUGUGUUGAAGAUGCUAAUAUAUAUAUAUAUAUAUAUAUAUAUAUAUAUAUAUAUAUAUAUAUAUAUAUAUAUAUAUAUAUAUCCUAAAUCGUUGUUCCUGUAACUUUUCCCUAACUUUGUUAUUCCAUUACAUUUUUGGUUUGUUUGUAAGUGAAUUGAUGAUAUUUAAAUAGAUUUUACCAUCAUGUAUUAUGCUGUUAAUAAAUUGAUUGAUACUUUAAAAUCAUGUGUAUUUUUUUUUUCAAACACACCAAUAUGUUCUUAAGCACAUUUAUAAUCAAAUCUGGUAUGUAGUUUAAUUUCUCCAUCAAAAAAGAAUUGAUGGAAUAUCUCCAUCAAUGUGCUCAAUAAAAACUAACCUCAUCUUUCUGUUUGAUUAUAAAUGUUCUUCUACUACUUACAUGUUCCUAAGCAUUUUAUAAUCAAAUCCGAUAUGUAAUUUAAUUUCUUUAUUUGGGACAAACUUAUAACUUCAUCUCUCUUUAUGCUCUUCUACUUUGGAUAUCUCUAUAUAUUAUAUUAACAUGAUUACUUUGUAAUACAUAAGUGAUAUACUAGACUAGAAUCUCUGCCUUGGGAUUAAAGCAAUAUGACAGAGAUGAAUGGAUUGGCUUCUAUGCAUUAGUUACCACAAGUUGAGUUAAAUGCCUUCAUAGAACACAUGUGAAUAUGGAAGUAAGCUUAUGGCAAUGUUGGAUUGGUUCCUCAUGUGCAACUUCGGAUUUCUUUUCACCAAAUAAAUAUAACUAUAUAGCAGAAACACAAAAAAUGAAGAACAGAUUUAGUGAGACACUAUAUUAGUUGUUAUCAGUGAGGCACUGCUACUCUUUCAUUCAGCAUGGAGAACAAAUUUAGUCCUCUUUUAGUCAUUAUCCAUUUAAAGCCAAUGUUUUUUGUUUGUUAUCAUUGCGUGAUUAGUUAUCCAAUUGAAUGUUGUGUUGUCGUCUUGGUUAUAUUACUUAGAUUUGAAACUGGAAUGAUGGCAGUGUGUUUCUUUAUAUUCCACUUCUUAUCUUAGUGAAUAAUAAAAGUUCUUUUACCAUUAUAUUUAUAUAAGUG
rnacentral:lncRNA from 1 species